rnacentral:rRNA from 1 species
UACGUAGGGCGCAAGCGUUGUCCGGAUUUAUUGGGCGUAAAGAGCUCGUAGGCGGCUUGUCGCGUCGUCCGUGAAAACCCACAGCUCAACUGUGGGCUUGCGGUCGAUACGGGCAGGCUAGAGUUCGGUAGGGGAGACUGGAAUUCCUGGUGUAGCGGUGAAAUGCGCAGAUAUCAGGAGGAACACCGGUGGCGAAGGCGGGUCUCUGGGCCGAUACUGACGCUGAGGAGCGAAAGCGUGGGGAGCGAACAGG